rnacentral:rRNA from 1 species
UGGGGAAUUUUGCACAAUGGGGGAAACCCUGAUGCAGCGACGCCGCGUGAUUUAGAAGGUCUUCGGGUUGUAAAAAUCUUUUUUACGGGAUGAAAAUGACAGUACCGUAAGAAUCAGGUCCGGCUAAAUACGUGCCAGCAGCCGCGGUAAUACGUAUGGACCGAGCGUUGUCCGGAAUCAUUGGGCGUAAAGGGUACGUAGGCGGCAUAGUAAGUUAGAAGUGAAAUAAUAUAGCUCAACUAUAGAAGGCUUUUAAAACUGGUAGGCGUUAGGGGUGGAAGGGAAAGUGGAAUUCCUAGUGUAGCGGUGAAAUGCGCAGAUAUUAGGAAGAAUACCGGUGGCGAAGGCGACUUUCUGGUCAUCAUCUGACGCUGAGGUACGAAAGCGUGGGUAGCAAACAGG